CAGAAUUCUGUGAAAACAAACAGAGGAAAAGGAGAGGAAAGAAUAGCAACUGUCAGCAGUAUUCACAGCCAAGGACGGAGGCGAGAGGUGUGGGGUGGAGGAGAUGGGAGGGAUUAUUUUGUCACAAUGCCAUCAUACCAUCUGCUUGGAAUGGAUGCUUUGCAUCCUCACAUAGCCAUGUGUGGAAGCCCUGAUCCUCAGUGGGAUGUGGAGGCUUUGAAAGAGGUGGGAGAUAGAUCAUAUACAGGAUUCUGCACCAUCCAGACAGGGAUGAAAAACCAAGAGUAAGACAUGGUUAAAUCCUGAAACCUUUUGGUUAAAUGAAAGAAAUCCAUCACAAAGGACCACUCCAGGUGGGGCUUAAAUCCAAUGACAAGGGUCCUUGUAAGAGAAGAGAGAAGACACAGGAGGGCACAUGAGGAAGGUGGCAGAGACUGAGGAAUACAGCUACAGCCAAGGGAGCCCCUGGAGCCACCAGAGGCUGGAAAGGUGAGGACAGAGUGCCCCCUGGACUCAUGGCCCUGCCACUGUCCUGACUUCAGACUUUGCACUUCCAGAACUUGAGAGAGUAAAGUUCCACUGUUUUAAGCCAUGCAGUGCUGGCUAUUUGUUACGGCAGCACUAGGAAAUUAACACAAGGUCAGAUAUGUACAUUAUAAUACAGCACCAUAUUAAAUAGGCUACGUAACAUGACCUGAAAUGCACAUCCAUCACCUAACACCCAGUCUUAAAUAAUCUUGACAUGGGGCCAAAUGUAUUUCCGAUCUAGACUUCUGAUACAGUUGAAGUCCCUCUAUUCCUUUUCCCUGACCACUCUUUCUUCUCCCUCCC